rnacentral:tRNA from 1 species
UCAGAAGAGAGGGCGCUAACCCCUCGUCACUAACUCCCAAAGCUAGCAUUUUAACUAAACUACCUUCUG